AUUUCAUAUCAAAUUAAUUAUUUCAACAAAAUAAGUUGUCCUUCAAAACAAAUAUUCUAAUUGUCUUGAUUAUGACUGGGAAAACAUAAUAACCAUUUUCUCUAACAUAACUAUUGUGUAUGUGUAACCAUAUCAUUUCUGCUACUUUGUCGCAUGGGAUAAGCAAUCUCUUAAGAUUGCAUCCACUCUAGCAAAAUAUUCAAAUUAUAUCAGGAUUAAAA
rnacentral:lncRNA from 1 species